UAUGUAUAUAUUAAUUAAUUAUAUUAUUAUCUCUGAUAUAUUUUAAAAUUUCUAUUGUUGCGGACUUUUCUGCGAUCCAUUGUGUGAUUUACUUGAUCGGCAAAUUUGCAGCGAAAUACAAAAGCCAGUGCUUCCAAAGUAGUGAAGGAACCAUUUUUCAUUUAAAUGAAUGAUAUACUUAAAUACACAUCGAAGAAGGCUGCAACCAUAACCAAUAGACGCUGUGGCCGCAUCUCACAUGAGCCAAAAAGAGAAUUCCAUUGGUUUUAUGCAAGGAUUAUGUCCUCAAAUUGAACGAUUCACAAAAACAAGAAAAAUAAAGGUAAUAAUAAAAUUCAAGAAUUGAGCAUAUCAACUGUGUAUGGCCUUCAUAACCAUGUGACAUACGACAAAUAUUACGUCAACGUCUGACUGCUACGUUUGAUUAACCAAAACGCAAUGCACGUAAUAAAUAUGGGUUUGGACGCGCACUGCUUGCCAGCUGCAGCUGGGAGGUUUUAUCUAAGGAUGAACUGAGCAGAAAGGCAAGGAAUAGAUUUUAGAUAAGGGUUCGUUAGUUGGAUCAGAUUUUUUCCUGAUCGGAUCAUGUUCUAAGUAAAUAAUUUAAUUAUUAAUUUAUAGUUAACAAAUAAAUAAAAAAUUGAAUUUUAUUCAUAUAUUACUACUACAAAACACAUGAUAAAAGAUUUUAAAAAUUUCAGAAGAAAUCAUAUUAGAAUAAUAUCAUUUUCCUCGUUAGUUUAUCUAUGUUAGAGUAUAAAUUUUAAUUACACAUAUAAAAUGAUAAAUAAUAAAUAAUGAAUUAUAAUAAAUUUUUAUUAUUUAUCACUUUAUAUGUAUGAUUGAGAUUCACGCUUCAUCAUAAAUAAACUCCAACUAUAACCUUCAGAUAAUUAGACUAUUAAGUGUUUUAUAACAUCACAAAACAACUCUUUAAAUGAAAUUUUCCUACUUAUUUAAACCGACACGUCAAUACAAAAAAAAAGUUUCAAAAAACUUUCUAAAUAAAUUUUCUUGUACGCAUAUAAGAUAGUAAAACAAGCCUACUAAAAAUAAAAAUAAUGAUGAGGAUUGGAAUGAAUCCGGCAUUAUUAUUUUAUUUUUGUCGCAUUUUACACAUGUAUCGAGCGAGGUGGGCCAUUGAUAGCUCCGCAUGAUCAGAUUCCCUUGUUCUCAGAAAUUUCAUAUUUGACAGUACCCCAUCUUGGUCGAAUAAUUAAUAAAGAAAAUUAGAGACGAUAUUUGCUGAGACUAGCGCUGAGUUUGCUGGCUUUGGAGAAGAGAUCGAACAUCGUAACUUUCAAACUUUGGACAGUAGAGGUUGAGGUUUGGGGCUCUGGGCUUCUCCACGUGGGAAGCAAAUCUCGCACAUAAAGAGAUAAGAGAUUUUUAAUGUUUUAGCUGCCGCAUAAAUUUGUCCCGAAGUUGCUUUCACGCGAAUAGAGAGGUUGAUUUUUUUUAUUUGGGAUCCUUCAAUAAUGAAAGGCGGUCAUCAAAGUGAGGCUCCCCACCGAUGCGUUUAAGCUUUUUCUUCUACUAUACUCACGAAAUAUGAGUAUACUCACGAAAUAUGAGUAUAGUAGAUAUCUUUUGAAUAUUAAAAAAAAUUUAAAGAAUCUAAAUAAGAGUAUAAUAAAU
rnacentral:lncRNA from 1 species